AGGGCGAGCAAGAAAAGCAAGAUCAGGGAGAUGAAGAAAGCUUUCGGGGUUUGUACACAGACAUAGCUGACUCCUCCUUGUCUCCUGCCCUUGCUGCAUCUCCUGUGGAGACACGUUUGCAUUUCUCUGUGUCUCUCUCUCUCCCACUCAAAGGAAUCUUGCAGCUCGAUCCUUGAAGCGAUUUCAAACGGCCCCUUCAUUGCCAGGCGUCCCCAUGAAAGUCAAUGGAGGUCUGCUUUGACUCGAAAGGUCAGCUGCGGCGCUUCAAAGUCCGUUGGUUUUACUGGAUGAAAAGGAAGAGGAGGGAUGAAUGUCGAAAUCCCUGUAUGAAGCUUUCAUUACCUUUGGUGCUUUGAUUUCUCUGUUGUUAUUUUUUUUUCUACCUAAAAAGUACACUCAUUAAAGGUAAUAAUAUUACUUUUCUGCCAUUUACUCUUAAUGGAAACUAGCAAACUUAGCUUUAAAUGUCUCUACUAUGGAAACACAUUGUAAUUCUCAAUCUGAAAAGGACCAAAAAUAAAAAUAAGCUAUAAUUA